CAGUAGCCACGGUAAUACAGAGGGUGCGAGCUUUAAUCGGAUUUACUGGGCGUAAAGCGUGCGUAGGCGGCUUCUUAAGUCGGAUGUGAAAUCCCUGAGCUUAACUUAGGAAUUGCAUUCGAUACUGGGAAGCUAGAGUAUGGGAGAGGAUGGUAGAAUUCCAGGUGUAGCGGUGAAAUGCGUAGAGAUCUGGAGGAAUACCGAUGGCGAAGGCAGCCAUCUGGCCUAAUACUGACGCUGAGGUACGAAAGCAUGGGGAGCAAACAGGAUUAGAUACCCCGGUAGUCCCUGUCUCUUAUAC
rnacentral:rRNA from 1 species